GAUGAACGCUAGCGGCAGGCCUAAUACAUGCAAGUCGAGGGGCAGCGCGGUAGCAAUACUGGCGGCGACCGGCGCACGGGUGCGUAACACGUAUGCAACCUACCUUCAACUGGAGGAUAGCCCGGGGAAACUCGGAUUAAUACUCCAUAACACAGGGAUCCCCGCAUGGGAAUAUUGUUAAAGCUACGGCGGUUGAAGAUGGGCAUGCGUUCGAUUAGCUAGUUGGUGUAGGUAACGGCUCACCAAGGCUACGAUCGAUAGGGGGUCUGAGAGGAUGAUCCCCCACACUGGUACUGAGAUACGGACCAGACUCCUACGGGAGGCAGCAGUAGGGAAUAUUGGUCAAUGGGCGCAAGCCUGAACCAGCCAUGCCGCGUGCAGGAAGAAGGCCCUCUGGGUUGAAACUGCUUUUGAACGGGAAGAAAUCUAUUUACGUGUAAAUAGUUGACGGUACCGUUAGAAUAAGGAUCGGCUAACUUCGUGCCAGCAGCCGCGGUAAU
rnacentral:rRNA from 1 species